CGGCGCACCACGGCGCAACAAGUCAAGCAAAGACCGAGCUAUGUCCGCCUAGAUCGGGCCGCCCGUCGCACAGUCCAACUCAAGCCGCACCAAGCCACCAACACCGAGCCAUGCCCGCCUUGGCACUGGGCGCCGCCGGCACCUGGCCGGAGGCCGUGGUCCAGUGCCUCCUCUUCCUCCUCGCCGCGGGCAUGCUCGUCGCGCUCCACUCCCUCCCCCGCCGCGCCGCCCUCCGCCUGCGCCGCUCCGGCGGCGGCGGCGGCGGCUCAUCCGCGGCCCAGUCGCGGCGGCACUUCGCGCAGGGCGCGCAGCUCCUCGCCCGCGCGCGCGCCGCGGCCCCCAAGCCCCCCGGCCCGCUCGCCCGCGCGGCCGUCGCCGAGGCCGACCUCGCCAUCGCCCUCGACCCCCGCGACGCCGCGCCGCUCAUCCUCAAGGCCCUCGCCCUCGACCUCCAGGGGCACCGCCUCCCCGCGCUGCGCGCCCUCGACGCCGCCCUCGCCCCGCCGCUCGCCCGCUCGCUCGAGCCGCGCGAGCGAGGGGACGCGCUCGCCAAGCGCGCCGAGAUCGCGCUCGCGCUGCACCGCCGCCGGCGGCUCGACCAGGCCGCCGCGGAUCUCGCGGAGGCCGUCCGCCUCAGUCCUGAGAACGCCCGCGCCCACGCGAUGCUCGGCGAGUGCUACGAGAGGAAGGGCCUGACCGCCCAGGCCCGGGACGCCUUCAAGACCGCCGCAUCUAUCGACCCAAAGCUCGCCGCUGCUCUCGACGGUCUCCGUCGGAUAGACGGGGGCGACGAAGGCAAUGAAAGUGACUGAUGAUAAAAAUCACAUGAUCUGCACAUGAAAAAGUUUGUAAGUUAUUCCAUACCAUGACUAUAUUUUUUACAAGUACGAAAACAAUAUUUCACCUUUGUCCAUAGCAUGAGGGCUGUGCAGGCCAGCAAUACUUCACCAUAUCAACCUAGUUCAAAUGAUUAUCUGUACUGUCUUGGCUGAUUCUCUUCUUGUGGGUGAGUAAAACACGGAUCCAAGCUUUGUUGUCCUAAACAGAACCCUCCGAAAUUCAGAAUAGUCAAGCUUACUUGUUUUUUUUUGGUGGGGAUUUAAAUUGCUGCACUUCAAGCUUUCAGCAACUGUUUUAUUACCAUCAUAAAUAAAGGGGCCUCCCCAGUCGCCACAUUUUAUCAUGAUGAGUACGGGCUGUUUGAUAACAAAUGUUUUUACUGAGAAUACUAUAUCUAUUCAGAAUUAAUACGAGUUACUCGAUUACAAACUAUAAGACUUUUAGUCCCAUUUAUGCAGUAUUGACGCCCAAUGAGCGAUAUGCUCGUAUUGUUACUUGUUAGACUCUGUUAUCUUUGACAGCUUACUUCAAAAACUUGAAGACCCUCUUAUCUGUGAUGGUUUGAAAAAAACGUUGUUAUUUUUUAAAGCCUGAGAUGAGAUAGAACCUUAUUCAAAAAAGAGAUGAGAUAGAACCUUAUUCAAAAAAGAGAUGAGAUAGAACAGUUUCAGUCCACAACAUCCAAAAAAUAAGGCCCAACCAUUCUUUCAAGCAAUUUUUGUCAAGACUUGCUUUAAUUACCUCGAGCAAGGGCAACUGAUUUCACUCUUUUUUUUUUGCGACUGGACACUGGAGUCCCAAUGCACGCUCACUACAGUAUCUGCUUGUGCUUGAUUUUUAAUCGAAAACUAUAACUGCAAGUUUUCUUUGU